rnacentral:rRNA from 1 species
UACAGAGGUCCCAAGCGUUGUUCGGAUUCACUGGGCGUAAAGGGUGCGUAGGUGGCCAGGUAAGUUCGGUGUGAAAGCCCUGGGCUCAACCCAGGAAGUGCACUCGAUACUGUAUGGCUUGAGUACUGGAGAGGUUGGUGGAAUUCUCGGUGUAGAGGUGAAAUUCGUAGAUAUCGAGAGGAACACCGGUGGCGAAGGCGGCCAACUGGACAGAUACUGACGCUGAGACACGAAAGCGUGGGGAGCAAACAGG